CAUAACACACAGCUGUCUGUGCGGGUCGAUCCAAUACUUCCCUGUGGAUAUUUUGAAUCAGAUUACCUCCGACAUAUGGACAAACUCAGCGGACAACAGCCCAGAGUUGAGGACGCUGUCCCUUCCCACUGACCUCCACUAUGUCACCUCUGGUCCUGGCCUGCUCAGUGAUGUCAUCCCCCGGGCCCUUGGCUGCACCAGUCUGGGUCUGGGAAUCCAAGAUGGUCACCCAGUCUCCUCUGUUAGCUUCCAGCCAACCACCUGCAGGAAGAGGUUGCAAAAUAGACUUUACAUAUGUUUUUUUUUUGUCAAUUACCUGGUCAAGUACACACAUUAUAAUGUGUGUUUUUGUAUGUAAACAUAAGCUGUAUUGAUAAAAACAUUUGAAUGAAGAAAAUUAAGAAAUAAAACAAUAGCCAGGUGCAUCACUAUUCCCAUUGAAUAUCUAUUACUGUAUGUAGGCUACAUGUAUUUCUCUCUUACCUUGCUCCCCCAUCUUUAGUCCACUCAGCAGGUUAAUGCUCUCUGGUCCAUCUUCUACUGUCUCCUCUUUGACCAGCAGCAGAUCAGGCUUCCCAUCCUCCAUGUCUACUGACUGUAAGAGAUACAGAGUGAGAGGAUGUUGGAUCAAGAAAUCUGAUAGGAGCAUCAUGCUGUGGAGCAUCUUCUGAUUGGACAAUGAAGGAUUGCUAUAAAUACUAUCCAAACAUGUUAGUUGAUUUGAUUAGUUGACACUAAUACUUGGAUGAUUCAAAGGCAUGAUACCACAGCUCUCCUCUGAGACACUUUGUGGAUACAGGCCCUGACUUAAUACCAUUCAGACAGUUUACAGUGGGCUCACCUCAGUGAGACUGUGUGUGGUCCUGUACUGCUCAGCUGGCUCCUCUGUCGGUCCAGGAGUAGGAGUAGUCUGGUUGUCCUCCAUGACCAUGGUCCCCUCGGGGUUCCCCAGACCCUCCUCACAACCCUCCUCCUUCACCAGCAGCACCUCUGGACCCUCCUCCUCCUGGAAGAGACAGGUGAUACAGAUUACACAGACAUACACUCCCUCAGGUACGUACACACAGAUAACACACUUUCAACAUGGAGUGUUUACCCAUCCCCACUACGUUUGAGUCCUAUACUGUAGUUACAGAAUGACUUCAUUGUUGUUAAACCCAUCAUGGUGGACAUAAAUAUAAUGCUGUGGGUUAAAAUAAGUCAGCUAUGUUAAGUCAAAAGACAUCAGACAAACCUUACAAAACUAUUUUUGUGUACAGUAGGUGUUUGUUAGUGUGUGGGAAUGUGUAGGUAUAUUUACUAAGUGUUUAUUGGUUAUAAAGUGCUGUUAGUGUAUGCAGCAUAGGGUGUGUUCAGUCGUUUACUAAAGGGAGUUUCAAUGAAAAGUCCCAUUUUGUGUUUAUUAACCCUUUUACACGGCCUACAGAGCCUCCAGAAAGUAGUCAUUUUCCACAAUUUGUUGUAUUACAGCCUGAAUGCAAAAUGUAUCAAAUGUAGAUUUUUUUUUGUCACUGGCCUACAUACAAAUACCCCAUAAUGUCAAAGUGGAAUUAUGUUUUUAGAAAUUCUUACAGAAUUAAUAAAGAAUGAAAAGCUGAAAUGUCUUGAGUAAAUAAGUAUUUAACCACUUUGUUAUGGCAAGCCUAAAUAAGUUAAUGAGUUCACAUUUGCUUAAUUAACAAGUCACAUAAGUUGCAUAGACUCUGUAUGUAAACAUGAUUCUCAGUACCCCACAGGUUUUCCAAUGACUCGCAAAGAAGGGCACCUAUUGGUAGAUAGGUAAAAAAAAGCAGACAUUGAAUAUCCUUUUGAACAUGGUGAAUUUAUUAAAUUACACUUUGGAUAGUGUAUAAAUACACCCAGUCACUCCAAAGAUACAGGCGUCCUUCCUAACUCAGUUGCCGGGGAGGAAGGAAUCCUCUCGGGAUUUCACCAUGAGGCCAAUGGUGCCUUUAAAAACAGUUGGAGUUUAAUGGCUGUGAUAGGAGAAAACUGAGGAUGGAUGAACAACAUUGUAGUUACUCCACAGUACUAACCUAAUUGACAGAGUGAAAAGAAGGAAGUCUGCAAAGAAUAAAAAAUAUUCCAAAACAUGCAUGCUGUUUGCAACAAGGCAGUAAAGUAAUACUGCAAAAAAUGUGUCAAAGCAAUUUGCUUUUUGUCCUGAAUACAAAGUGUUAUGUUUGGGGCAAAUCCUGUACAACACAUUACCAAGUACCACUCUAUAUUUUCAAGCAUAGUGGUGGCUGCAUCAUGUUGUGGGUAUGCUUGCCAUCACUAAGGACUGUGGAGCUUAGCACAGGCAAGUGCCUAGUUUCCACCAGAUACUGGGAGAUUAAUUCACCUUUCAACAGGACAACAACCUAAAGCAUAAUGCCAAAUCUACACUGGAGUUCCUUACCAAAAAGACAGUGAAUGUUCCCGAGUGCCUGAGUUACAGUUUUGUAAAUCUACUUGAAAAUCUAUGUCAAAGCCUGAAAAUGCAUGUCUAGCAAAGAUCAACAACCAAUUUGACAGAGCUUCAAAAAUAAAAUGGGAAAAUGUUGCACGAUCCAGUUGUUGAAAGCUCUUAGAAAAUGACCCAGAAAGACUCAAAGCUGCAAUCACUGCAAUCACUUGCUUCCACAAAGUAUUGACUCAAGGGUGUGAAUACAUAUGUAAAUGAGUUAUGUUUGUAUUUCAUUUAAUACAUUUGCUAACAUUUUGGAAAACAUGUCACUUUGUCAUUAUGGGGUAUUGUGUGUAGAUGGGUGAGAAAAAAAAUAUAUUUUGAAUUCAAGCUGUAACAACAAAAUGUGGAAUAA